GACGAACGCUGGCGGCGUGCUUAACACAUGCAAGUCGAACGGAAAGGCCCUGCUUUUGUGGGGUGCUCGAGUGGCGAACGGGUGAGUAACACGUGAGUAACCUGCCCUUGACUUUGGGAUAACUUCAGGAAACUGGGGCUAAUACCGGAUAGGAGCUCCUGCUGCAUGGUGGGGGUUGGAAAGUUUCGGCGGUUGGGGAUGGACUCGCGGCUUAUCAGCUUGUUGGUGGGGUAGUGGCUUACCAAGGCUUUGACGGGUAGGCGGCCUGAGAGGGUGACCGGCCACAAUGGGACUGAGAUACGGCCCAGACUCCUACGGGAGGCAGCAGUGGGGAAUAUUGCACAAUGGGCGGAAGCCUGAGGCAGCAACGCCGCGUGCGGGAUGACGGCCUUCGGGUUGUAAACCGCUUUCGCCUGUGACGAAGCGUGAGUGACGGUAAUGGGUAAAGAAGCACCGGCUAACUACGUG
rnacentral:rRNA from 1 species